rnacentral:rRNA from 1 species
GGCUCAGGACGAACGCUGGCGGCGUGCCUAAUACAUGCAAGUCGAACGGUCUUUCUAUGGAAGCUUGCUUCCGCUGAGAAGAUAGUGGCGAACGGGUGAGUAACACGUGGGUAACCUGCCCAUAAGAGGGGGGAUAACAUCCGGAAACGGGUGCUAAUACCGCAUAGUUUUCUUGAUCGCAUGAUCGGGAAAGGAAAGACGGCCUUUGUGCUGUCGCUUAUGGAUGGACCCGCGGCGUAUUAGUUAGUUGGUGAGGUAACGGCUCACCAAGACGAUGAUACGUAGCCGACCUGAGAGGGUGAUCGGCCACAUUGGGACUGAGACACGGCCCAAACUCCUACGGGAGGCAGCAGUAGGGAAUCUUCCGCAAUGGACGAAAGUCUGACGGAGCAACGCCGCGUGAGUGAAAGAAGGUUUUCGGAUCGUAAAACUCUGUUGUCAGAGAGGAACAAGUUGGAGAGUAACUGCUCCAGCCUUGACGGUAUCUGACCAGAAAGCCACGGCUAACUACGUGCCAGCCGCCGC